CCGACUGUUCCAGACCCUCUUCUGUUCGGAUGGACGAAGUGUAAUGGAAAAUUUGUUCCAGUGUUAUCUGAUUUACCACCAGCUCCAGAUUCAGUGUCACAGUUACUAAAGUGUCAAUGCAGAUCUAGUAAAGCUGGAGAAUUCACAGUCUGCACAAAGCGUUGCUCUUGUAGAAAACAUGGACUUGUAUGUACAGAACUGUGCAGAUGUGAAGGAGAAAGUGAAACAUGUAUGAACACAGAACAUAUAAGUGAAGAAGAGGAAGAAGAUACCAGCAGUGACACCAGCAGUGACACCAGCAGUGAUAGCAGCAGUGAAACAGAUGAGUACAUGUAGGAUACGGAGUUGAUUUUUGCACAGUAAAGAGAAUAGGAAAAGAGGAAGAAAAAUUGAGAUCUUCUUCAAAACAAUGAAUUAAUUCAUACAGUGUACAGAAAUAUGCCAUAAUGAUGAGGGUAGUGGUGGAUACUUGGAAAGAGAAGAGAAAAAAUGAUGAAAGAAAUUGAAAUCCUCUUCAGCACAUAGAAUUUAAUACAGAAAACAGAACUAUGAAACCAUGAUGAAGAUAAUGGAAGAGGAAAAGAAGGAGAAAUAGAGAUCUUCUUCAGAACAUGGAAUUUGAUGCAGAAUACAGAACUAUGAAACAAUGAUGAAGACAAUGGAAGAGGAAAAAUAGGAGAGAAAUGGCGAUCUUCUUCAGAACAUGGAAUUUAAUGCAGAACUAUGAAACCAUGAAGAAGACAAUGGAAGAGGAAAAGAAGGAGAAAUAGAGAUCUUCUUCAGAACAUGGAAUUUGAUGCAGAAUACAGAACUAUGAAACCAUGAUGAAGACAAUGGAAGAGGAAAAGUAGGAGAGAAAGGGUGAUCUUCUUCAGAACAUGGAAUAUAAUGCAGAAUACAGAACUAUGAAACCAUGAUGAAGACAAUGGAAGAGGGAAAGAAGGAGAAAUAGAGAUCUUCUUCAGAACAUGGAAUUUAAUGCAGAAUACAGAACUAUGAAACCAUGAUGAAGACAAUGGAAGAGGAAAAGAAGGAGAAAUAGAGAUCUUCUUCAGAACAUGGAAUUUAAUGCAGAAUACAGAACUAUGAAACCAUGAUGAAGACAAUGGAAGAGGAAAAAUAGGAGAGAAAUGGCGAUCUUCUUCAGAACAUGGAAUUUAAUGCAGAACUAUGAAACCAUGAAGAAGACAAUGGAAGAGGAAAAGAAGGAGAAAUAGAGAUCUUCUUCAGAACAUGGAAUUUGAUGCAGAAUACAGAACUAUGAAACCAUGAUGAAGACAAUGGAAGAGGAAAAAUAGGAGAGAAAUGGCGAUCUUCUUCAGAACAUGGAAUUUAAUGCAGAACUAUGAAACCAUGAAGAAGACAAUGGAAGAGGAAAAGAAGGAGAAAUAGAGAUCUUCUUCAGAACAUGGAAUUUGAUGCAGAAUACAGAACUAUGAAACCAUGAUGAAGGCAAUGGAAGAGGAAAAGUAGGAGAGAAAGGGUGAUCUUCUUCAGAACAUGGAAUAUAAUGCAGAAUACAGAACUAUGAAACCAUGAUGAAGACAAUGGAAGAGGGAAAGAAGGAGAAAUAGAGAUCUUCUUCAGAACAUGGAAUUUAAUGCAGAAUACAGAACUAUGAAACCAUGAUGAAGACAAUGGAAGAGGAAAAGAAGGAGAAAUAGAGAUCUUCUUCAGAACAUGGAAUUUAAUGCAGAAUACAGAACUAUGAAACCAUGAUGAAGACAAUGGAAGAGGAAAAGAAGGAGAGAAUUGGUGAUCUUCUUCAGAACAUGGAAUUUAAUGCAGAAUACAGAACUAUGAAACCAUGAUGAAGACAAUGGAAGAGGGAAAGAAUGAGAGAAAUGGUGAUCUUCUUCAGAACAUGGAAUUUAAUGCAGAACUAUGAAACCAUGAUGAAGACAAUAGAAGAGGAAAAGAAGGAGAGAAAUGGCGAACUUCUUCAGAACAUGGAAUUUAAUGCAGAACUAUGAAACCAUGAUGAAGACAAUAGAAGAGGAAAAGAAGGAGAAAUGGCGAACUUCUUCAGAACAUGGAAUUUAAUACAGAACUAUGAAACCAUGAUGAAGACAAUGGAAGAGGAAAAGAAGGAGAGAAAUUGUGAUCUUCUUCCGAACAUGGAAUUUUAAUGCAGAACUAUGAAACCAUGAUGAAGACAAUGGAAGAGGAAAAGAAGGAGAGAAAUUGUGAUCUUCUUCAGAACAUGGAAUUUAAUGCAGAACUAUGAAACCAUGAUGAAGAAAAUGGAAGAGGAAAAGAAGAAGGUAAAGGGUGAUCUUCUUCAGAACAUGGAAUUUAAUGCAGAAUACAGAACUAUGAAACCAUGAUGAAGACAAUGCAAGAGGGAAAGAAGGAGAAAUAGAGAUCUUCUUCAGAACAUGGAAUUUAAUGCAGAAUACAGAACUAUGAAACCAUGAUGAAGACAAUGCAAGAGGGAAAGAAGGAGAAAUAGAGAUCUUCUUCAGAACAUGGAAUUUAAUGCAGAAAUACAGAACUAUGAAACCAUGAUUAAGACAAUGGAAGAGGAAAAGAAGGAGAGAAAUGGCGAUCUUCUUCAGACCAUGGAAUACUCUACAGUGUACAGAACUGUGACACCAUGAUGAAGAUAGUGGAAAAAAUUGAAACAUUAAAAACAAAAGGAGGAAAAGAGGCAAAAAACAAAAUGAAACGGUGUUACCAAAGAUGCAAGGAGUUUGAUGAAUAGUCUAGUCUCGACACUUGAAUGGUGGUGUUUCUAGUCAGAUCAUUAAAGUUAGAGCAUAGCAUCAAAUGAGAAGGUCAUGUCGUGCAGCGGCUCAAGUGAGGAAGUUGAAGCGAGUAUAACGGAUCUUCAAUCACAGUGUCAUGUUUGUUUGCAGAUGAGCUGAAAUGCAUGUUUUCCAGCUGACAGACCAUGUUGACGGAUAAAAAGCUUCAUGUCAUUGAAAAGGGAUUUCAAGGAUGGAUUGAGAAAGAAGGUUGCAAGUACCCACCCCCCUGGUUUAUGUUGCAAUAAUCUUUGUCAUAAAGCUUGUGGACUGCCCAAAAUUAAUAUAUUUGCAAUAUACAUAAUAUCAUACUCUCACUCACCACCAGGGACCUGUUCAUAAAGGGUUAUAACUAUUUUAACUUUGCCAAUAUUUUACCUAUCAUGAUAACCUUGAUUGUGAUUGGCUGCUAACCAUGUUAGUGGUACAAAGUUGGAAUAGUUGUAGACCUAUCUUUUUAUGAAACAGGCCCCA